rnacentral:lncRNA from 1 species
AGUUUUAGUUGCUUCACUUGGUGUCUUAGCGGUUCGUGUUUGUAAGUCUAAGCUCCUCUUCCCAGCCACCAACUCGAUCUGCCCUAGUCUUCCCAUCUCCUACUUAAGUCAUGGUCCAGUAGGCCGUGCAGUCCUAGAGCUCGAGUGAUCUCCUUGGCUGUUGUAGCCUAUGUUUCCCCGGAGUUAAUCCCCUCCCAAUAUCUUGGUCCAUCUGCCCAGAGCUUGGUGUACCAGUCCCUAGGUGGUGACCAUCGUCGGCAGUUAGUCCACCUCGUCGUGACCAGGUAACUUCAAGGGUUUCCUCAGUCGAGUUGUGCAUAUUUUAUGCUCUGCAUAAGAUAGAGAAGCUCAUAUGAUGGUAAACCAUUCUCCUUAAGUAGGUUUGGUUUGGGGGUGUGUAUGGAAAAUAGAGUGAAAGCUGCCCAAAAAUGAACUGUGAGUUUGCACUGACUGAAUUUUUGUUCAGAUUAGCUGAAAACUGGAUUGCAGCAGAUUGCUCAGUUUGGAGCUCUCCUAUGACCAGUUCAUGAGGUUUUGGGUUACCAGUUGUAUAGAAAAGUCAAAGACCAGAUGAAGGUGAACAAGCUUCAUCAGAGGAGUGGGGCUUACUACUGUGUAAAAUAUGGAGAAAUAUGUGCUGCAAUUUUCUAUGUCAUGUGUUGUGUUCAGGUCUUUUUCAAUUAGCUAAAAUUUAGCCUUUGCGUUUCCACCUCAAGUUUGGUGCUAUGUAACUUGAGAUCUGUUUAGGGUUAGCUAGUAGCUGUUGUAACAAAGAUGGAGAGAGAUUAUAGAGGAACCAUUCAUAGUAAGGAAAUACAUUGAGCCCUCAUAUGGAAUUGCGAGAAAAUAGUGUUACAAAACCCUCUGUCAGACUUGGAGUGGGUUGUUUCAGCUAACUGAAAACCUGUUCAGGGUGUUGUUUAGUCAACUUUGGAGCUCUGUGGUAAUUAAUAAAACCAGAAUUGGGUUAAGAGUUUUACAGAAAUGUGAAAUACCAAGUGUAGGAGAACCAGUUUUAUACAGGUAGAUUGGCUUGUUAAUUUUAGGAAUUUAGAGAAAAGCCUGUUGCAAAACUCUCUGUCAGACAUGGUAAGGUGCUGUUUCAGAUCGAGGAACUGAACUUUUCAGUGUUUUGCUCUAACUUUUGUGCACCAUAGCUACUGUUCUAAGUAUUUUCAGCUUAGGGGUUUUAUACCAAAUGGGAAGGGCUAUAGUAGGAGAGUAAUAUUGGUUCACAAAGGUUGGUUGGUUGUUGAGAAGAAUUGUUAGAUAUCUGGGCUUGAACAAAGAAGAAAGCAACAGGGAGUAGUAUUGCUAACGGACUGUAUUCAGUUAACUGAGAUCUGGAAUUUCACUGUUGGUGCUCAGUUUGGAGCUCUUUGGUGACCAAAUCAUGGGGUUUUAGGAUAGGAGUUCCAUAACAAAGUGAAUUGUGGCUGAUUCUUGGACACUAUAACUUGUAGUGCAUGCAGUUUGGAUCCUUGCUUAAGGCAUAAAUGAAGUGCUUGGUUGGUUAUGGAGGCAAGGUUUCCUAGUUUAGUUGGUGAAUUGAGUUGUGAUAUUAGAGUAUUUAGUUCUCUUAAGGUUUUAUUAGUUUUUGUGUGCACGUUUAGAAAGGUGUAAGUCUUGUGAUGCUUUUUAGUAUUUUCUUUUCAAGUUGCAUCAGCAUAAGCAUUCAUGUUCAUAUCUUUACAUGUAGAAUUCCCAGAAGAAGAAGAUGAAAUUCAAGAAGUGGUUUCUGAAGAGGAGUCUGCUUUAGUGCCUGCUCAUCAAGUGAUGGGAGCCAUCUAACUGGGGUUUAAUAGAGGGAUUUAGACCUCCGUCUCUGCAACAAAGGCAAGCCCCGGUGCAUUUGCCACCUUCCUUGUAUUACAAAAUUUUAUCACUUAUAUGCUGCAUUAGGUAAUAGGAGUUGAAUGAUUAAACACUUGAUGUAUAACCAUCCUUGAAAGAUUGAUUAUCAUACCUUGUUACCUGUUUUAUAAAAACUAGUAAUGCUUAGUUAUGCUUAUAGAUUAAGAAAAAUGUUUUUGAUCUAUGACUCAUGAUUUUUAAAAAGAAAAAGGGCUUGGGAUGAUGGAGACAUCCUCCGCGGGGAUGAAUUCAUCAUUCAAGCAGGGUACCUCUGCCAGGUAUCAAAUUUUGAGAAUUUGUUUAAAAUGAGACCAUACGUUGAGCUGGACAGGUCGCCCGUCUGUGUCGAUUAAGGACCGUACCGAUUGUAGGCCUGUUGAUAUAGGACCUUUUAACUGGCCACAUACCUCGUCAUGGGUAAGCCUGCACCCGGCUACUCCAUAUGUGAAAAGACAAUCGUGCACUGGGAGUGGAGAGAUGGCGGGAGUGGCGUGUACCCACCUAGCACGUGGCUGGAUGGUGGAGUACUGUACUCUCGGGUGGCGCGGACCGGUUCACGUAGUGGAGGACCCGUGGGAAUGGUAGCCAUAUGCAAGGGUUAAGUGCUACAUAUGUCGUGUGGCUGGAGAUCCCCAGCUGGGUAUUAAUCGAUUCAGAUCGCCGUUACUUCUCGGAUAUGAAGACUGGAUCGCUGCCCUUCAUCGUAGAUAACAAGCGAAACAAAAUUUGGAUUUUAAAAGCAACCUAGUGUAGGUCAAGUAAAUGAUCUAGAUUAGGAAAAUGCUAGAUUCAGGCUAGAAGAUUCAGGUAAUAAACUAACUUGUGAAAUAAAACUUGGCUUAAGGACCCACUUCUAGUAAGCUUUUCUGCAAAAUGAGUCCUUGAACUUUGAUGAGUUUUACCUUGAUUCCCAAAAGCCAGCAUACCCUUGAGAAUCUUUUCUUUAGUCGGGUAAGUCUUGCUGAGUAAUUGCGUACUCAGGGUUUUAUCCCUUGUUGUUUUUGUAGGAGAAGUUUUAUUCCCUUAUCUUUGGGUUAGUUACUUCAUGUGGAGGACUUGAAGCUUAGAAUGUUUUUAUAUAUCUCUUAUGGAAAGGCUUCACCCUUCCAAUUAUUGUAAUAAGUUAUGCACUUCGAGUACUAUCAGGACUUGUAAUAAAUACAUCUCUUUCUACCAUGUAAAACUUGAGUUCUGGAAUGUAAAGUGUACUUUGUAAAAGUCUUCCGCUCUAUCUUCAAUGUGUGUGUAUCAAAUGUGAU